rnacentral:rRNA from 1 species
UUCGGUGGGCCCGUCACUACUUGUGACCGCCGAAGGGUUUAUGUUUUUAACUGACCUUUGGGCCCGUGCCUGCCGGAGAUAUUUGAACGCCUGUUAUGAAAUAGGUUGUCUGAGUUAAAAGAAAAUAAAUUAAAACUUUCAACAACGGAUCUCUUGGUUCCGGCAUCGAUGAAGAACGCAGCGAAAUGCGAUAAGUAAUGUGAAUUGCAGAAUUCCGUGAAUCAUCGAAUNNAAAAACGCACAUUGCGCCCUCUGGUAUUCUGGGGGGCAUGCCUGUCCGAGCGUCAUUGCUAAACCUCAAGCCCGGCUUGUGUGUUGGGCCUACCGUCCCUUUGGACGGUGACCCGAAAGGCAGUGGCGGCGUCGCGUCCCGGUCCUUGAAGCGGAAGAGGGCUUUGUCACCCGCUUAGAGGCCGGCCGACACNGUANCCCAUUCGUG